rnacentral:rRNA from 1 species
UUAGUCAAUGCUCGAAAGAGUGAACUAGCUAACUGAAAUCAUAGAAUUUCUUUAAAUUCGUGAUGUCGUAAGGGAAAAUAAUGAUAAUACCUUACUAUGAGUGUCGUCCAAAUCUGGUGCCAGAAGACUCGGUAAGACCAGAGACGCAAACGUUAAUCAUCAUAAACAGGCGUAAAGGGUUUGUAGGCAGCUCCCUUCCCUUAAUCAAAAUAUAUUGKAUAUUUUAUUAACUCAUUUUAUUUUAAUAAAAGGGGUAGGGGAUAGAUGAUAAUUAAAAAAUAAAGUCAUCUAAUUGGGAGCUAGAAUCAAAAAGAGGUUAUAGUGUAUAACGCCUAGAGGAGGGCUGAUAUCCUUAGAUCCUAGGUAGAAUACUCAGGGCGAAGGCCACUCUCCAUUAAUGAUUGACGCUGAGAAACGAAGGUUAGGGCAGGAAAUAGGAUUAGAUACCCCGGUACUCCUUUCUGUAAACGAUGAAUGGUAGUCAUUAGUUUAAUAACUAGAGACGAAGUUAACACAAUAACCAUUCCGCCUUGUGAGUACUACUGCAAAGUAGAAAACAAAAAAAUUAGUCGGUCUCGAAGCAAACGGAGUGAAGCAUGUUAUUUAAUACGAUAGUCCGCGU